rnacentral:ribozyme from 1 species
UUUUUUUUUUUUUUUUUUUUGCUCUGUUCUCCCAAGUAUUAUUCAUCUACAAAUAGCACAGACUGAGGAAGGUG